rnacentral:lncRNA from 10 species
UUUGCUGGCCAUUCACCAUGAGGGGACAAGUGUCACCUGCCUCCUGAGUGGCAUGUGCCACCCUGGGCAGUGGCGCUGAGCAUUUAUGAAGCCUGACACUCUACCACUUUGAGCCUGAGGGGAAGCUGUGAGGACUCAGCAUGUCAGAGAGACUGCACGUAUGGGAGAAUGCACGCACGGGAGCCGGAGGGACGCAGAGGAACCAGUGUGAGGCACCAGGGAAGACACACCGCAGGCUUGCCUCCUCAGUGCUCCCAGAGGUUGACCAUGGACUCAUGUCGCUGUUCACUGAAGAUGUGAGGAGUGCGCUGGCCGCAGCAGCCCAGGUGGCCCCUUGCCUGCCUGGCCAAUCAAGGGUGGCAUGUGAAUGCCACCAGCCAACAAGCACAGGGACCACACAGCGACCUGCUCACUAGCUGUAAAUGCCACCAUUAUGAUUGGAAUUGUAUGUCCCCCAACUCACAUGUUGAAGCCCUAGCCUCAGUACCUCAGAAUGGGGCUGUGUUUGGAGGUAGGGCCUUUAGAGAGGUGACUCAGUUACAUCGAGGCCUUCAGGGUGAGCCCUCCAUUCAGUGUGACUGGGGUCCUGAAAAGAAGACAAUGUUUGGGCAUUCAGAAAGACACAGGACCACAGGCUGUGUGUGCACAGAAGAAAGGCCACGAGAAGGUGACCAUCUGCAAGCCACAGAGGGAGACCUCGGGGGAACCGACUCUGCCGGCACCUUCAUUGUGAACCUGCAGCCUCCAGAGCUGUGAGAAAUACAUUUCUGUUGUUUAAGCCUCCCAGUCUGUAGUAUGUUGUUAUGGCAGCUGGAGUGAACUAGCACAGCCACUGGAGUUUGGCCAACAAGCACACUGAAGCCAUGAGAAGUGAACCAUUUGUUUCAGAGAAGUGUAAUCAAGCCAAAAAGAAAACAAUCUCCCUUAGCACUCAGGGUGAACGCCAACCUUGAGCUGACUGUCAUUGUGGAAAACUGGGGCCUUCUUGACUGACCUAACUGGACAGAUGGCGAUGGAGGAGGAGGCUGUGCUGACACAUUCGGCUGAGCUCCUGCCUGUGCUUCCCAGCAGCUGCCCACACCAGCCACAGGGAUCACGCCCAACCUGCCUGGAGCACCGGUGAGACGUACGGAGCCAUAAGGAGAGAAACCCAUUUCAUGGCUGCCUGUGG